rnacentral:rRNA from 1 species
AACCCUCGAACCCCUCCGGGGGGUCGGCGUUGGGGAUCGGCCCUCCCUUAGCGGGUGGCCGUCUCCGAAAUACAGUGGCGGUCUCGCCGCAGCCUCUCCUGCGCAGUAGUUUGCACACUCGCAUCGGGAGCGCGGCGCGUCCACAGCCGUUAAACACCCAACUUCUGAAAU